UGUCUCCUCCAUCUCCUCCAAGAAAUGGAUUUAUGCCCGCCUAGAGCGGGCAUUUUUUU
rnacentral:ncRNA from 1 species